ensembl:lncRNA
GGAGAAUGCCUUAAAGAAUGUUCAGGUGGGAGCACCAGUCUGAGGAGCCAAAGGGCUGAAGCCAGCAGGCCCCAAUGACCAGCCUCAAAAGAGCCCACACACCUGGGCCCCCAACACUAGCGCGCCCUCAUGAGGGCGCUCGCGGCAUCUUUAAUCCUCCAAGCAAUGAGAGGGUUAAGCUUCCUCGCGUUACUUGCCGCAGUAAGUGGAAAGGAAAGAAGUGUCAACUCUGUUCUCACCACAGCGGGGCUGUCGGAUGGCACCUCCCCCCGCCCCGCGCACCCGGCCCGGCCGGCUCCCCCGCCCUCCUCUCGGAGCGCGCGCACACACCUCCCACCGCUUUGCCCAAAUUAUUUUCGAUCCCGGGAGACUCCGGAUGCCAGACGCGCUCCGCAGCGGCGGCGGCGGCCGCGCCUGAUUCAUUGCGCCAAAGCUGCAGAUGCGACCUCCCGCCUGCGCCCUGUGCCCCGGCCCGCGCCGGGCUGCGUGCGCGCCUGGAGAGAUUCGGGGGGGCGGCAAUUUGUAGGCUCUCCCCCCUCAAGAGUGCACCGUCUCCAUGGAAACCGCGGAGGAGGUCACGGUAGCUGGGCCCCCUCGCGUCACCCCGAGCCUCGCCGGCUGCAGGCGCCGGGAUUGCGGCCUCCCAGGCGCCUCGGCCCGCGUGGACUCUACUCUGAGUUCCCCGCCCCCGCUCCACUCAGCCCGCGGCUCAGACCAUAUGACUCUGCCGGGUCCUAACCGGGAAGGGCGCACCUGGGCACCAGUGCGCUAGGCUAUGCCUCUGUCCCCAGGCUUUGGCACGAGGGAGUGCGCCAAGAUACACGUGCCCAGCUCCAAGACUAGAACACGUGCAGCGAGACGCCACCAAGGGGCUCACGGAACUAGUGAAUGCCCUGUGCGAUCGACCUAUAUAGGUGCACCACUCCAGACCUCUUGCUAAAACAAGACCACCCGUAAAGAACCUGGAGUCCCGCCUAGGUAUCUUGCUAGCUGUGUGACUUCGGGCAAGUCGCAACCUCUCUGCGUCUCACCUUGCUCAUCAGCAAAAUGGAAUUGUCGCGUGGCUUGAGAAAAAGUACGUUAAACGUUUAACACUAUGUUUGGCACGUGGUUCUGAAAAAUGGUAGCUGUCACUAGGGUUAUUUUUUACAGACUGCAAAAGCCGAGGCCCAAAAAGCGUGGCUCAAGGGCGCGGUCAGCCCAAAGGCCGAGUUACACCUUGGGAGCUUCCCAGCAUCUUAGCCUAGUCUCAGGCCGGAGGUUGAGGGGACACGUGCCUGCUUUGCUGAGCCUGGGCCUGCCUGGGGCGCGACGGGCGGGACCUCCUAGCCAGCCACAUCCGCACCCGGAACCCUGGAGACGGGACUCCCCGCAGUGCGCGCCCCACCCCCCUCCUGCCCCAGCACUAUUAGCAACGGGCCUGCCUGCCCUCCCUCCCUCCCAGGGCUGAGGCCGCACCUGCCCCACCGGAUGGCCGCCCCGGGGCCAGGCCGUGCCCCCCACCGCGCACACUUCCUCCCGGACCCCCAGCGCCCCGCUGAGCACGCAGGGAGGAGGGGACCCGGCCGCCCCCGCCCAGCCAGCUUCCCACAGCCCGAGCAGCCCGGAGCCGAGGAGGCAGGAAGUCUCAGAGCCGGGGCGUGGAGGCGGGGUAGGGGCAGGAAGUUGGGGGUGACUCUCCCAGAGACCCUAGACAGGCCCCGGCGUGGGAGCGGGAUGGGCGGGCGCGUAGGGAUUAAGGGCGCGCCCCCACCCCCGCCUCUGUAGCCUUAGACCACGUGAUCCCGGCCGGAGCGCCCCGCUGGGUGAGGGCGAAGGCCGCUACCUCUGGCGACCCCCAGCAGCGCGCACUAGGAGGGAGGGGCAGCCUUUGUCUACUUUGCCGCAGAAGCAGCCCCCCACAACCCCUCCCCCACGCGCCCGGCCGGGCCCUGCACAGCCCGGGUUUUCCAUCCGGCCCGGCUCGGCUCGGCAGCUGUCAGGGGACCGAGCUGACCUUCGCAAGCAGGGAGUUUCAAUUAGCCGCAGAUCAGAUAAGCGGGCGGGCCAGUCUCUCCGGGCACCGCGGGGGCGCAGCCCCGCCCCCGCCACGCCGCGCCAAACGCGCUCCAGAUGGGAACAAAGAUGGGGACGCAGCUCCACCUGCCUCCCCGGGGAGGGGGGAACUGGAGGCCCCGCCGAGAGGAGCUUCCCAACGGAGGAAGGGGUUGCGCACCCUCCCCAGCCCGUCUAGGCUCUCAUUCGGGGCUGGGGUCUAGUCAAAACGAUCCUUGCAACUCUCCUUGCCUCCUGCACAGCGGAGAGGUGCCUGCCACGCUGACCUCAUCUCCAGGCGGGCAUCGAGCCCUCCCACCCCCGGAGGAACGCUUUUGCCAUCUCUGAUCUCAUCCGGAGCUCUCCCUGGGAGGCAGAGAGGAGACAAGAGCCCAACAGAGAAAGGAACCUGAGGUAGAGAAGGGCUGGACUUCUUGAUCCAGAUCACACCAACCACAACAUUCUUUCAGAUGUUUAUCUAGUGCGUACUAAGUACCAGGCGCAGUUUAGACCAUGGGGACAUCAGCCUCUUAGAGCUUACAUUCUCAUUCAGGGAGACAGACCAUAAUCAAGUAAACAAAUAGUUGAACAGAAUCAUUUCGGAGAUUCUAAAGAGCCAUAAGAUACUAAAACAGGCCACGUGAGACUGGAUUUCAGGGAGGUGACGUGUUAUGGUAGUCAGGGAGGGCCUCUCUGAGGAGGUGACAUCUGAACUGAAGCCUGAAAGACCAGAAGGAACCAGUCAAGCAAAGGAGAGGGUGUGGAGCAUGCCACUGUGGACGUGACUUUUGGUUCAAAGGGGAAGCAGACAGGACAGGGCUUUGCAGACCAGGUGUGGCAUCAGGGUUUAUGAAAAGUGCAGUGGGAGCCUUUGGUGGGUUCUAAGCUGGGAGUGACAUGGUCUGACUUACAUUUUUAAAGAUCCCUCUGGCUACUGUAUAGAUCAGAGGAAGGCAGAGGGAUAAGAGAGACCAGAGAGGAGCAGGGAGGAUGGGGCUGGAGGGGAGGAAUGGGGAGGGGGGAUGGCUUUCUGCUGUAGUGAUAUAUUUUGACUGAUGAAGUGGAUUGAGGUGAAGCAACAACAGAAGCCUGGUGAGAAAGAGGCAGGCCUUGAACCUACAUCAGCCUUUGGGAGGGAGCAUGGAGGGGCUGCCCAGAGGUGAAGGGUAAAGCUAUAGAGCAAGAAUGCCAGGGUUCAAAUGCUGGUACAGAUAUUUUCCAGCCGAGUAACCUUGAGCAGUGUCUCUAUCAAUAUCACCAAGCAUUUAAAAAAGAAUAGCAGAUUGUCAUUGUAAGGUUUGAAUAUGAUAACAUCUGAAAAGUGUUUAUCACAAAGCCUGGUAAAUAGG